AAUCAGGCUCAGGAUGAACGCUAGCUACAGGCUUAACACAUGCAAGUCGAGGGGAAACGACAUCGAAAGCUUGCUUCCGAUGGGCGUCGACCGGCGCACGGGUGAGUAACGCGUAUCCAACCUGCCCACCACUUGGGGAUAACCUUACGAAAGUAAGACUAAUACCCAAUGAUAUCUCUAGAAGACAUCUGAAAGAGAUUAAAGAUUUAUCGGUGAUGGAUGGGGAUGCGUCUGAUUAG
rnacentral:rRNA from 1 species